GGAACUGGGUGUGUUAACUUGUAUACUAAUGUUUAUAUUUAAUAUAUAAUAUUUGAUCAAUGUAAUCGAAUAUUAACUAUUUUAAUUAUUAAGUAUAUUUAAUAAAUAAAAUAGUUAAUAUACAUGUUAUGGAACUGCAUCAUCCUGGGACGGCGCCGGCUAGCUCCUGAAUCCUCAAGGCGCAGUACCCCCAAUGUCCCUACAGCUUCCACAACAUUAAACAUCGAUUACUAUCGACGUCUCACUCUACAAAUACUAACAUCUCUAACAACGAAAAAGUAAACAAGACCAAAAUAAACAAAUCGGGACAAAUAUGACGGAAAAAUGGCAUCAGAUGUGGCUGCCACAGCGCACCCACCCUUCCUGUGGUGUCCCUAGUGUCGCGAGGGAGGCACCACCCAUCGUCAGAGGCCGGAAUUACUGCCGGGCGGUCUACGACCGGCCCAUCUCCCCCAACAGGUAAGGAUGCUUCUUUUCAUGCGGGACCCUAAACGCACCAGCGUUUUGGAAAUUAAUUAAGGGGUCACAGCGGUAGUACCAUCGGGUCAGGAAACUGACUACAGUCGCCGCGGAAAUAAAACUUUGAGCAGGCUGGGAUUGGUCUACUGCACCAUUUGGGGCCACCUACUCCUGGGGAGCUCCGAGGUAUGAGAAGGGACGUGCGUAUGUAUAAAUUUAUAUAAGGAAAAGUCCCUAUUGACCUGAGUGUUUCCCUCACUUCUAAGGCUUCCCGCAAAUUUGCCUAACUUAACGGGGGGCAAAAAGGACGGAAGCAGGUAAAUCCACAUCAAUUUGACAACAAAGGUGUGGAGUUGGCGGACCGGAGAUCGGUAUCACGCCUUGGUUUGGCCACUGUGGACCGCGACGUGGGAGAGGCCGCGUGGUAAAGGAGCACGGUCAGGGUCGCGACGCUGCGCUGCUCGGGUUGUACGUGCCCGGAACGGACUCACCGAGGUAACUUGGAAUAUGGUUGAGGUUAAAUAAACCUAACUGCCUGCGGCGGUUGCUGCUGCCUGUGGCUGUU